CAGGACCCAGCAUGGACACGAGGGCCCCCACUCAGCUGCUGGGGCUCCUGCUGCUCUGGCUCCCAGGUACCAGAUGUGCCCUUGUGAUGACCCAGAAUCCAGCCUCCGUGUCUGCAGCUGUGGGAGGCACAGUCACCAUCAAUUGCCAGGCCAGUCAGAGUGUUUAUAAUAACAACUGGUUAUCCUGGUAUCAGCAGAAACCAGGGCAGCCUCCCAAGCUCCUGAUCUACAAGGCAUCCACUCUGGAAUCUGGGGUCCCAUCGCGGUUCAAAGGCAGUGGAUCUGGGACACAGUUCACUCUCACCAUCAGCGGCGUGCAGUGUGACGAUGCUGCCACUUACUACUGUCUAGGCAGUUAUUAUAGUUAUAGUAGUGGUGAUACCACAGUGAUACAAGCCCUAACAAAAACCCCCCAGGAAAGCAGAAGUAUCAACCAAUCGAAGCCUCCUCCUCCACUCUCGUCCUUUGAUAGCUGA